rnacentral:rRNA from 1 species
AUUGAACGCUGGCGGCAGGCUUAACACAUGCAAGUCGAGCGAGCGGCGGACGGGUGAGUAAUGUCUGGGAAACUGCCUGAUGGAGGGGGAUAACUACUGGAAACGGUAGCUCAUACCGCAUACCAUCGGAUGUGCCCAGAUGGGAUUAGCUAGUAGGUGGGGUAAAGGCUCACCUAGGCGACGAUCACUAGCUGGUCUGAGAGGAUGACCAGCCACACUGGAACUGGGAACCGGUCCAGACUCCUACGGGAGGGAGCAGGGGGGAAUAUUGCACAAUGGGCGCAAGCCUGAUGCAGCCAGGCCGCGUGUAUGAAGAAGGCCUUCGGGUUGUAAAGUACUUUCAGCGGGGAGGCGUUACCCGCAGAAGAAGCACCGGCUAACUCCGUGCCAGCAGCCGCGGUAAUAC